UACGGAGGGGACUAGCGUUGUUCGGAAUUACUGGGCGUAAAGCGCACGUAGGCGGAUUUGUAAGUCAGGGGUGAAAUCCCGGGGCUCAACCUCGGAACUGCCUUUGAUACUGCAAAUCUCGAGUCCGGAAGAGGUGAGUGGAAUUCCUAGUGUAGAGGUGAAAUUCGUAGAUAUUAGGAAGAACACCAGUGGCGAAGGCGGCUCACUGGUCCGGUACUGACGCUGAGGAGCGAAAGCGUGGGGAGCGAUCCGG
rnacentral:rRNA from 1 species